GAGACGACAAUGGUGGCGACGGUGUAGUAGCCGGAGCGAAGGGGGAAGGUGGGUAUGAUGGAGGGAUGGUGGAUGGAUAGGGUGAUAGGGAAGGUGGGGAAGGUGGGGAUGAAGAUGAUGGAGGUUGGGUGACAGGGGAAUUGGAAUUUGGAGUUGGGGCAUAGGGGUAGGGUGAUUGAGAUGUUGGGGAAGGAGUGUUUGGAGGUGACGGAAUGUAGGGAGGUUGGGAAAUGGGAGAAGGAGUGGUGGAUGGUGGUGUGGAAAUGUAAGAAGGUGGCUGGGAUAUUGGGGAAGGAGUGGUGGAUGGUGGUGUGGAAAUGUAAGGUGGCUGGGAUAUUGGGGAAGGAGUGGUGUUUGGAGGUGAUGGGAUGUAAGGAGGCUGAGAUAUUGGGGAAGGAGUGUUUGGAGGUGAUGGGGUGUAAGGAGGCUGGGAAGUAGGAGAAGGAGUAUUGGGUUGUGGAGGCACAUAAGGUGACUGAGAAAAGGGUGAUGGGGUUAUUGGAACAAAGGGUGGUUGAUGAUGAGGGGAAGGGGUGUUUGGAGGUAGAGGAGCAUGGGGUGGAUGGUUAUUAGGGGAAGGAGCAUAAGUGGGAGAAGGUGUGUUGGGAGGUAUGGGAGCAUAGGGUGGUUGAGCUUUGGGAGGAAAGGGAAGAUUAGUAGGAGGUGAAGGUGCUUCUGGAGGAGUAUAAACAGGGGGAGGAGUUUGAUGAGGUGGAUAAGGAGCUUUUGGAGGAGAAUAUGGAGGAGGCUCUCUCACAGCCAACACCACAAUAAUAAGUUUCUGACCCUUCUCACAAUUAUAAUCUUUUCCACUGAUGAAAUAAAAG
rnacentral:lncRNA from 1 species